CCGACUCCCGUUUCACAGCCUGGACGUCAGGCAACCCUGACCUUGAUGGUGCUGUUUGUGCAGUGUAUAAGAGCAAAGUUUGGAAUGACGUUUUAUGCAGCAAGAAAUAUGCUUUCAUUUGUCAAAGUGUCCCAGACAGGCUUGUGAUGAAGGUGGCCAUCAAGACUGACUCCCCUCUCAACAUGGAAGACCCUGCUGUCCAGGCUUCCAUGGCAGAGCAGAUUCGGCAGAAACUUCAGGUGGCGGGCCAACCGGCCUUUCGUGUCACCUGGAGACAACAGCCAGAUGGGAAGGUCUUUCAUGAAGAGAAAGCCAAGGAUGCAAAGAAGAAACAAGACAGGAGAGUAGAACUUUG